rnacentral:SRP_RNA from 1 species
GGAGGUUGGCGGCGGACGCUUCGUUCGCCAACCGGGUCAGGUCCGGAAGGAAGCAGCCCUAACGAAACUGACGCGGGUCGUUCGUCAGCCUCCUUA